GUGGACCCGUCCCCAUCCUAUUGUGAUCCCCAUCUUUGC
rnacentral:misc_RNA from 1 species